UCGGGAAUUUUGGGCAAUGGGGGAAACCCUGACCCAGCAACGCCGCGUGAAGGAUGAAGUAUUUCGGUAUGUAAACUUCGAAAGAAUAGGAAGAAUAAAUGACGGUACUAUUUAUAAGCUCCGGCUAACUACGUGCCAGCAGCCGCGGUAAUACGUAGGGACCAAGCGUUGUUCGGAUUUACUGGGCGUAAAGGGCGCGUAGGCGGCAUGACAAGUCACUUGUGAAAUCUCUGGGCUUAACCCAGAACGGCCAAGUGAUACUGUCGCGCUAGAGUGCAGAAGGGGCAAUCGGAAUUCUUGGUGUAGCGGUGAAAUGCGUAGAUAUCAAGAGGAACACCUGAGGUGAAGACGGGUUGCUGGGCUGACACUGACGCUGAGGCGCGAAAGCCAGGGGAGCAAACGGGAUUAGAUACCCCCGUAGUCCCUGAGCGGGCUGGCAAGGCGCAU
rnacentral:rRNA from 1 species